GUUGUCUUGAUUGCUACAAAGUUAUGAUGAUGGAAAAAGGCCUGGAAGAAAGAGAGUUACUAGAAAAGCAGAGGGUAAACAUAUCAUUGUCACCAGUAAGAGAGAUCGGCAAAAGACAGCACAAAAAAUAAGGGAGGAAAUCAACAUGACAAGGUCGAAACCCAUAUCUCUGACAACUGUGAAAAGAUGUUUGAGAAAGGCUGGUCUGAAGGGUUGUGUAUCUGCAAAAAACACUACAUCUACAGGACAAGAAAACAGAUAUUAGUGGGCAAAAGCUCACAAAAAUUUGACCUAUGAUGACUAGAAACAAGUUCUCUGGACCGAUGAAAGCAAGUUUGAACUUUUUGGUUCAAAACGCAGAGUCUAUGUCCGCAGACAAACUGGUGAACGUCUGAAAGCACCAUGUGUUACACCCACAAUUCAGCAUGGAGGUGGUAGUUCCAUGGUAUGGGGAUGUUUUGCAGGUGAUGGAGAAGGAGAUUUGUUUGAAGUAAAGUGUAUCAUGAAGAAGGAACAGUACCACUCCAUCCUCCAGCACCAUGCUGUUCCAUCUGGAC